AGACCCGAAACCCGGUGAUCUAGCCAUGGGCAGGUUGAAGGUUGGGUAACACUAACUGGAGGACCGAACCGACUAAUGUUGAAAAAUUAGCGGAUGACCUGUGGCUGGGGGUGAAAGGCCAAUCAAACCGGGAGAUAGCUGGUUCUCCCCGAAAGCUAUUUAGGUAGCGCCUCGUGAAUUCAUCUCCGGGGGUAGAGCACUGUUUCGGCUAGGGGGCCAUCCCGGCUUACCAACCCGAUGCAAACUGCGAAUACCGGAGAAUGUUAUCACGGGAGACACACGGCGGGUGCUAACGUCCGUCGUGAAGAGGGAAACAACCCAGACCGCCAGCUAAGGUCCCAAAGUCAUGGUUAAGUGGGAAACGAUGUGGGAAGGCCCAGACAGCCAGGAUGUUGGCUUAGAAGCAGCCAUCAUUUAAAGAAAGCGUAAUAGCUCACUGGUCGAGUCGGCCUGCGCGGAAGAUGUAACGGGGCUAAACCAUGCACCGAAGCUGCGGCAGCGAACGUAUCACCCAAGACAACUUUACGGAGUUGACGAUUGACGGAGCGAAGCGACGUCAAAGCGUUCAUUAAAGUCGAGUUGGCUUAGGGAUACGUUCGUUGGGUAGGGGAGCGUUCUGUAAGCCUGUGAAGGUGUGUCGUGAGGCAUGCUGGAGGUAUCAGAAGUGCGAAUGCUGACAUAAGUAACGAUAAAGCGGGUGAAAAGCCCGCUCGCCGGAAGACCAAGGGUUCCUGUCCAACGUUAAUCGGGGCAGGGUGAGUCGACCCCUAAGGCGAGGCCGAAAGGCGUAGUCGAUGGGAAACGGGUUAAUAUUCCCGUACUUGGUGUUACUGCGAAGGGGGGACGGAGAAGGCUAUGUUGGCCGGGCGACGGUUGUCCCGGUUUAAGCGUGUAGGUGUGUGUUCCAGGUAAAUCCGGUUCACUUUAACACUGAGGCGUGACGACGAGGCACUACGGUGCUGAAGCAACAAAUGCCCUGCUUCCAGGAAAAGCCUCUAAGCAUCAGGUAACACGAAAUCGUACCCCAAACCGACACAGGUGGUCAGGUAGAGAAUACCAAGGCGCUUGAGAGAACUCGGGUGAAGGAACUAGGCAAAAUGGUGCCGUAAC
rnacentral:rRNA from 1 species